rnacentral:lncRNA from 1 species
CUCAAUAUCCAUUUUCCAAACAAUUCACCAAGAAAUUGAUUACAGGAAAAGAAAAUAAUCAAACACAAUACAACUGAAAUUAUUAAUAAAAUUAAAAUCAUCUUUCUCAAAAUCAUCUUUCUCUCUCCAUUUUUCCUUUAUUGCAUUCAUUUUAUUAAUAUACACAUUGAACAGAGAGGGUGAGUUUAUGAGCAUACCCUCUCAAAAUCAUCUUUCUCUCUCCAGUUUUCCUCUGCAUUCAUUUUAUUAAUAUAUAUAUUGAACAAUUGGAACAGGAAAAUUCAGAGAAAAUAAUAAAUUAAUAAAAUAUGAAGAAAAAAGACUUACGGCUAGAUUAUCACCAGGGGUAGUUGUCUACCUGGAAUGGGAUCCCGUGCGGCGGAAUAUGGAUCCCGUUCUCCUCGUAAUCGUCGUCGAUCUCCGUUCGACGAUUCUCUUUGCAGGCGUUAUCUUCUUGCCGACCUUCGGCUUCUUCUGGGCUGCCGCCGCCGCCGCUUCACGUCUUCCGCCGACGCAGGAAGAAAUUUUCGAUCGGGUGGCGGAGAAGAACGGGUGGUGCUCCGACGAUGUGAAGCUACGCAGACCGCCGUUCUCCACCAUGAUUCCCGCAACCUUCGCCGCUGCUCUCAUCGCACCGCCUCCCAUGUUAUUUUCAGAUUUGGUGGAGAUUAAUUUCGAAGAAAGAAAAGAGUGAACGAGAGAGAUAGAGAAGGAGAGAUGAAGAGAGUGAUGUAACGGCGAUUGUGG